rnacentral:rRNA from 1 species
UACGUAGGGAGCAAGCGUUGUCCGGAAUCAUUGGGCGUAAAGAGCGCGUAGGCGGCCCUGUAAGUCCGUUCUGAAAGUCGGAGGCUCAACCUCCGAAAGCGGAUGGAUACUGCAGGGCUAGAGUCCGGAAGAGGCGAGUGGAAUUCCCGGUGUAGCGGUGAAAUGCGCAGAUAUCGUGAGGAAGACCAGUGGCGAAGGCGGAUCUCUGGACAGCCCCUGACGCUGAGGCGCGAAGGCUAGGGGAGCAAACGGG